rnacentral:rRNA from 1 species
GUUAGGAAUAUUGGACAAUGGGCGCAAGCCUGAUCCAGCCAUGCCGCGUGAGUGAUGAAGGCCUUCGGGUUGUAAAGCUCUUUAGUCCACGAAUAUAAUGACUGUAGUGGAAGAAUAAGCCCCGGCUAACUUCGUGCCAGCAGCCGCGGUAAUACGAAGGGGGCGAGCGUUAUUCGGAAUCACUGGGCGUAAAGCGUGCGUAGGCUGUUUUGUAAGUCAGAAGUGAAAGCCCAGGGCUUAACCCUGGAAUUGCUUUUGAAACUACAAGACUCGAAUUCGGGAGAGGAUAGCGGAAUUGUCAGUGUAGCAGUGAAAUGCGUAGAUAUUGACAGGAACACCAGUGGCGCAAGCGGCUAUCUGGACCGAUAUUGACGCUGAGGCACGAAAGCGUGGGGAGCAAACAGGAUUAGAACCCCUGUAGUCC